AGUGUGAAGGCGAAGCACAAAGUGUCUGCAAGAAAGGCUGUCUGAGCUGUGUAACUGGGUCAGAAGAAAAUGUGCUAAGGAGCUUACUUCUAUUGAGGCUGAUUGUAAAUGUGCUUUAGCCAGCCGCAGAAGAAUGUAACAGAGUCGUGCAACAUCGUCUGACCUACAGACCAUUUUUAAAUCUGAAAUCUUUGGAGAGCAUUCUGAAACUCUUCUCCACAUUUAUUUCCUUCUCAG
rnacentral:lncRNA from 1 species